AGAGUUUGAUCCUGGCUCAGAACGAACGCUGGCGGCAGGCUUAACACAUGCAAGUCGAACGAGAUCUUCGGAUCUAGUGGCAGACGGGUGAGGAACACGUGGGAACAUCCCUUUCAGUUCGGAAUAACGUUGGGAAACUAACGCUAAUACCGGAUACGUCCUUCGGGAGAAAGAUUUAUCGCUGAAAGAUUGGCCCGCGUCUGAUUAGCUAGUUGGUGAGGUAAUGGCUCACCAAGGCGACGAUCAGUAGCUGAUCUGAGAGGAUGAUCAGCCACAUUGGGACUGAGACACGGCCCAAACUCCUACGGGAGGCAGCAGUGGGGAAUAUUGGACAAUGGGCGCAAGCCUGAUCCAGCCAUGCCGCGUGAGUGAUGAAGGCCUUCGGGUUGUAAAGCUCUUUUGUCCGGGAAGAUAAUGACUUACCGAAGAAU
rnacentral:rRNA from 1 species